UUCUUUCUCUCUUGGCACCUCAACUCAAGUAGGCGGGAAAGAGUGUCUUUGGUCCCAUCUUCUGUGACCUAAAAACCUGCAAAAACCCCCCAAACACCUGAAGCUCAACCUCUUAGUCUACCAUCUUCGUUGCUUAUUGUAAUUAUCAAUGGGUAUCAAGGGUUUAACGAAGUUGUUGGCGGAUAAUGCUCCAAAAGCCAUGAAAGAGCAGAAAUUUGAGAGCUAUUUUGGCCGAAAGAUUGCCAUUGAUGCCAGCAUGAGCAUUUACCAGUUCCUUAUUGUGGUGGGGAGAACUGGGUCGGAAAUGCUGACUAAUGAGGCUGGCGAAGUCACUAGUCAUUUGCAGGGCAUGUUUAACCGGACAAUUAGGCUUCUUGAAUCUGGAAUGAAGCCUGUUUAUGUUUUUGAUGGGCAGCCUCCAGAUCUCAAAAAACAAGAGUUGGCAAAGCGUUACUCAAGGAGGGCAGACGCUACCGAGGAUUUGGCUCAAGCUUUGGAGACUGGCAUCAAGGAAGACAUUGAGAAAUAUAGUAAGCGAACUGUGAAGGUGACAAAGCAGCACAAUGAAGACUGCAAAAGACUUUUAAGACUCAUGGGUGUACCCGUAAUUGAGGCUCCUUCAGAAGCAGAGGCACAGUGUGCAGCGCUUUGUAAAUCAGGAAAGGUUUAUGCUGUAGCUUCUGAGGAUAUGGAUUCCUUAACUUUUGGAGCUCCUAGGUUUCUUCGCCAUUUGAUGGAUCCGAGCUCGAGAAAAAUCCCUGUUAUGGAAUUUGAAAUUAAAAAGAUUUUGGAGGAGCUGAACCUUAACAUGGAUCAAUUCAUUGACCUCUGCAUCCUUUCUGGAUGUGAUUAUUGCGACAGCAUUCGAGGAAUUGGAGGACUGACUGCCUUGAAGCUCAUCCGUCAACAUGGCUGUAUAGAAACUAUAUUGGAGAACAUAAACAGAGACAGAUACCAAAUACCAGAUGACUGGCCAUAUCAAGAGGCUCGACGGCUUUUUAAAGAACCACUUGUCCUCACUGAUGGAGAGGAGCCUGAGAUUAAGUGGACUGCGCCAGAUGAAGAGGGUUUGAUUGCUUUUCUAGUAAAUGAAAAUGGGUUCAAUAGUGAUCGGGUGACAAAGGCAAUAGAAAAAAUUAAAGCAGCUAAGAACAAGUCAUCUCAGGGCCGGUUGGAGUCAUUUUUCAAACCAGUUGCAAACUCAUCUGUACCCGUUAAACGGAAGGAAACUAAAUGUGUGCUUCAAUCUCCCAAAUCAGCAACCAAGUCUAAAAUGCUUUCUCUGCAAGUCUAUAAUUUCUUGCCGAAGGUCACUGGCAGCUUAGGACUGCCAAUUAUGGAUCUAGGUCCCAAGCUCAACAUGCCAUUAGCCAGAGGCGUCUGCUUCGGCGCAUGAAGCUGAAAACUCUGGAAACACCAGAGAACACUAGUAAACAAUCUAAUGCUAAAAAGUCAAAGGCUGGAGGUGGUAAGAAGAAGAAAUAGUUUGACAUUAUUAUCUGAUUAAACGCAUGGAUGUUAAUUGGGCUGGCAGUUUUUAUAUCAGAGAACUUGCAGUUUUCCCAGAUGAUGCACAGAAAGCGAAGUCUUUUAUGUUUAUUGACACUUGCAAAAAUUGCAAGGUAUAUAAUAGAUGUAUCUUGUGUUUAGGACUAGGUUAGAGUUAAGGAUUUUGUGAUCAAUAACUGGGGAGAUUUCGCCUGUUAUGUAUUUAAUUGACUGAAAAUGCCUAGAUGAUGUGACUGAGCAUUUUUUAUGAAAAUGGUUAUCGACUGCUAUGCGUGAUAUUAUUUUGGUUU